GACGAACGCUGGCGGCGUGCCUAAUACAUGCAAGUAGGACGCAGUUGCGAACGGGUGAGUAACGCGUAGGUACCACCCUAUUAGAGGGGGAUAACUAUUGGAAACGAUAGCUCAUACCGCAUACUAGUAGAUGGACCUGCGUUGUAUUAGAUAGUAGGUAGGGUAAAGGCCUACCUAGGCAAAUAUACCUAUCCGACCUGGAGUGGGGAUCGGCCACACGGGGACUGAGACACGGCCCAGACUCCUACGGGAGGCAGCAGUAGGGAAUCUUCGGCAAUGGGGGGAACCCUGACCGAGCAACGCCGCGUGAGUGAAGAAGGGUUUCGGAUCGUAAAGCUCUGUUGUUAAGGAAGCGGUACUUAACCAGAAAGGGACGGCUAACUACGUGCCAGCAGCCGCGGUAAUAC
rnacentral:rRNA from 1 species